rnacentral:lncRNA from 1 species
AUACCCCACCGCUACCUGGGCCCGCAGGCGUUAAUAAGCGGUGUGGGGGAGGGUGUGACGUUCCCCCCCGCGGGCCGGGCCGAGAGAAGCUCCGCCCCUGCCAUGGGGUGGGCGGAGCCUCCCACCUCAACCUCACCGUCCGGCUCGGGCGCCAUUUUGAGAAGCUCUUUGUGUGUCGGGGCUGCGAGAGACACUCGGUGCUUACCCGGGCAGCGCAGGGAGCGGGGCCUUGGCCGCUGUGACUGGCGCUUCCCCGGGAGCGCGCGGUGCAACCGGGCCUGAGCGGGGACCAAGAGGUCGGGGCAGAGGAAGAGGUGGCAGAGAUUUUGGAAACAAGGGACAGCUUUCAUAUGUCAGAGGGAAAAUGCGAGGCAAAACAAUUAAUGGCAUUGGGCCCAUGAGACGUGGGAUAGGAAGAAUGCAUCCAUAUCCUGACCCCCGAGGCCAAAGAGGAGGCAGAGGGGGGCCACCUCUUUUAUCACUCCCACCCCUGAGAGGAAUGAUGAGAGAUCCUUUCUCACUUCCACCACCAAGGCAAUAUGAGAUUGUUUGA